rnacentral:rRNA from 1 species
UACAGAGGGUGCGAGCGUUGUUCGGAAUUAUUGGGCGUAAAGGGCGCGUAGGCGGUGCGGUAAGUCACCUGUGAAAUCUCCUGGCUCAACUGGGAGCUUGCAGGCGAAACUGCCGUGCUGGAGUGUGGGAGAGGUGAGUGGAAUUCCCGGGUGUAGCGGUGAAAUGCGUAGAUAUCGGGAGGAACACCUGUGGCGAAAGCGGCUCACUGGACCACAACUGACGCUGAGGCGCGAAAGCUAGGGGAGCAAACAGGAUUAAGAAACCCCUGGUAG